UUCAUGCAAUCUUUGCAUGUAUAUCUAUGCAAAGGUCUUUUUAUAUUUUUAACCAUGUAAAUUAUUCUUUUCUAUUCAUUUUCUGUUGUUUGAAAUGUGUUAAAUGUGUUGGCAAGGCAUGUCACUGCAUGCAUGACUUUUUCUAAUGCCAGAUUCUCUUUUUUCCUUCUUCUUUUCUUUCUCCCUUUAUCCUUCCCUCCCUCCCUGCUCCCCUCCCCCAUUUUCUUUCUUUCCUUCCUUUCUUCAGUCCUAACUCCUUCCCUCUUGCCCUUUCUUCCUUCCUUCCCAAUUCAUUCCCAUGUGUACUAACUACAUCAAUAGCAGUUCAAAUCAGCAUCCUCCAAUGUUUUGCCAUCCUGGAGUAGUAUUUUCUACGGUUCUGGAGAUGAUCAAGUGAGAUAAUUAAUGCAUGUCUGCAAAUUUCAAAUGUCAUGAAGCACAGUACUAUGAAGGUGCAACCCACUGUGUGUGCAGACAUCCAUUUGGUCCAUACAUGUGGCUGCUGUGGAACCUGGGAGCCAGUGUAACUGACACCAACAAGCUGAUCUCAUGCUACUUCCUAUGAGCCAUGAGUCUCCUCUUCCGGAGAUUUGUGCCUUAUGCCAGUCUCCAUGAAACUCUGUUGGCCUAACUUGAAAGGUUUGUAUAUUCAAGCUGAAGAGCAUAAAGAAGGACUGUUUAA